GAGUUUUAUAUUAAGUUUUAUUAUAUAUGUGUAUAAAAUUUUAUAUUAAAAUGAAAUAAAAUAUUAUAUUGGGGUGAUAGAAAAAUAAAAAAAACUUUUUUUAAAAAUUUAACAUAAAUAAAUGAUUUUAUGAUCCAUUAUUUAGUGAUUAUAAGAAAAAAUUACCUUAGGGAUAACAGCGUAAUUUUUUUUUUUAGAACAAAUAAAAAAAAGAGAUUGC
rnacentral:rRNA from 1 species